ACGUAGGGUGCAAGCGUUAAUCGGAAUUACUGGGCGUAAAGCGUGCGCAGGCGGUUAUGCAAGACAGAUGUGGAAUCCCCGGGCUCAACCUGGGAACUGCAUUUGUGACUGCAUAGCUAGAGUACGGUAGAGGGGGAUGGAAUUCCGCGUGUAGCAGUGAAAUGCGUAGAUAUGCGGAGGAACACCGAUGGCGAAGGCAAUCCCCUGGACCUGUACUGACGCUCAUGCACGAAAGCGUGGGGAGCAAACAGGAUUAGAUACCCUGGUAGUCCACGCCCUAAACGAUGUCAACUAGUUGUUGGGAGGGUUUCUUCUCAGUAACGUAGCUAACGCAUGAAGUUGACCGCCUGGGGAGUACGGCCGCAAGGUUG
rnacentral:rRNA from 1 species